CAUAGCGACUAUCGUGGCAUAUCAAUAAGCGGAGGAAAAGAAACUAACAAGGAUUCCCUUAGUAACGGCGAGUGAAGCGGGAAGAGCUCAAAUUUGAAAUCUUAAAGGGUUUCCCUUUACGAAUUGUAGUUUAAAGAAGUGUUUUCUGUUGGAGUUUCGGUAAAAGUUCUUUGGAAUAGGACAUCAUAGAGGGUGAGAAUCCCGUAUUUGACCGUUACUUUCCAGCUGUGUGAUACACUUUCAAAGAGUCGGAUUGUUUGGGAAUGCAGUCCAAAAUGGGUGGUAAAUUUCAUCUAAAGCUAAAUAUUGGCGAGAGACCGAUAGCGAACAAGUACCGUGAGGGAAAGAUGAAAAGAACUUUGAAAAGAGAGUUAAACAGUACGUGAAAUUGUCAAAAGGGAAGCGUUUGACACCAGUGUUGUUUUUCCGAAAAUCAAUUACGAAUGUUUUAUUUUUGAGGAGUUAUGACUUCAUCGGCUUGCUUCUCUCUUUACUUGUAACUUUCUUAAUGCACUUUUCGGUUAACAAGUCAACAUCAAUUUCUUUUGUUGUAAAAGGGUACGAUUGGAAGGUGGCUUUCUUUUCGGAGAAAGUGUUUAUAGCCUUUGAUCUCUGCAAUCGGAGAGACUGAGGUCUGCAGCGUAGACUCUUCGGGGUUAGAUACAUUUGUGCUAAGCUAUAGCUUUUAUAGACAACUUGUUGACUAUGAUUAGUCAUUGUAGGCUUACUCGCUUAUGCUAUUUUACCUACGCUUAGGAUGUUGAUAGUCACAGCGUGUAC
rnacentral:rRNA from 1 species